rnacentral:rRNA from 1 species
UACAGAGGUGGCAAGCGUUGUUCGGAAUUACUGGGCGUAAAGGGCGCGUAGGCGGCUUGGUCAGUCCCGUGUGAAAUCCCUCGGCUCAACUGAGGAACUGCACGGGAAACUGCCUGGCUUGAGUUCGGGAGAGGGAAGCGGAAUUCCGGGUGUAGCGGUGAAAUGCGUAGAUAUCCGGAGGAACACCGGUGGCGAAGGCGGCUUCCUGGACCGACACUGACGCUCAGACACGACAGCAUGGGGAGCGAACGGG